UUGAAUAAAAGCGUUUAAAAAUUAUUACCAAACAAACGUUUAACAACAAAUCAUUUUAUUGAAACUCUAGGCCACACCCCCUUUACUCAACAACAGGUGGUGAUGAUUCUGACUGGUCAAAUUCCAUUCUGUUAUCGUUUCUAUGGUAACCAGCCAUUAAACACCCGGCAGGACGCAUUUUAUGUAGCAUCUUAUGGAAGGAGUCUCCAGUGUCACCGGUUAGUAACGCAGUCAAAGCUAGAGCGUGGAUAGUGCAUCCGGAAUCUUUUCUGAAAAGAAAAUCCUUUCUUGAAGAAACGUGUGCUGAAUGGAACCUUCACGCUGCAUGCAACGUCUGAAGAUGUCCUCAGGAGUUCAUUGGACAGUUAACAGUCCUUAUUUUCUGAAGAGAUUUUUUUUACUUAGAACCUGUUUUGCAAGAGAAGAUCUCUGUAUUGGGUUCUACCUAAAAAGGAACCUUUUUAGACCCAUGGUUCUUAAAAAUAAAAUAAAUAUGUACUAAUGAAUGCCCAUGGAGGUUUUUUAAUCCCAAUUAAAGGUCUCCAAGAAAUUGA